UGGGGAAUAUUGGGCAAUGGGCGAAAGCCUGACCCAGCAACGCCGCGUGAAUGAAGAAGGUCUUCGGAUUGUAAAGUUCUGUCCUAUGGGACGAAGAAGUGACGGUACCAUAGGAGGAAGCCCCGGCUAACUACGUGCCAGCAGCCGCGGUAAUACGUAGGGGGCGAGCGUUGUCCGGAAUUACUGGGCGUAAAGGGUGCGUAGGCGGCGCCUUAAGUCAGAUGUGAAAUAUCCGGGCUUAACCCGGAGGGUGCAUUUGAAACUGGGGUGCUUGAGUGCAGGAGAGGAAAGUGGAAUUCCUAGUGUAGCGGUGAAAUGCGUAGAUAUUAGGAGGAACACCAGUGGCGAAGGCGACUUUCUGGACUGUAACUGACGCUGAGGCACGAAAGCGUGGGGAGCAAACA
rnacentral:rRNA from 1 species